AGUGGUAUUCUGAGAUGUUGCACAAACUAUCAACAACACAGUUUUGACUGCAAACCUUGUGAAGUAGGUACAUAUGGCGUCAACUGUACAGGAGGAUACUGUCCAUAUGGAUACUAUGGAUUUGGCUGUUCACAAAAGUGUCAUUGUACCAAUGACCAGUACUGUGACAGGAAAACAGGAUGUAGAUACCAUUCUACUUCUACAAACGAAUGAAAUCUCAAAGAGAGUCAAGGUACAUUGGUUCUAUGUUCUUACCACA